rnacentral:rRNA from 1 species
UAAAACGUAGGAGCCAAGCGUUAUCCGAAUUCACUGGGCGUAAAGCGCGUGCAGGCGGCUUGGUAAGUUGGAUGUGAAAUCUCCUGGCUCAACUGGGAGAGGCCGUUCAAUACUGUCAGGCUAGAGGGCGACAGAGGAAAGUGGAAUUCCCGGUGUAGUGGUGAAAUGCGUAGAUAUCGGGAGGAACACCAGUGGCGAAGGCGACUUUCUGGGUCGCACCUGACGCUCAGACGCGAAAGCUAGGGGAGCGAACGGG